rfam:Picea glauca, whole genome shotgun sequence.
ACAUGCCCAUAUCAUAGCGUUAAUGCAAUAGAUACCAUUAAAACUCUGCAGUUAAGCACACUCAGGCUAGAGUAGUACUCAGAUGAGUGAAUGCCUAGGAAGUACUAGUGUUUUACAUGCC